rnacentral:rRNA from 1 species
GAUCCUGGCUUAGGAUGAACGCUGGCGGCGUGCCUAACACAUGCAAGUCGAACGAAGCAUAUGGACUGGAGAUUCGUCGAAGGACUGUAUGACUUAGUGGCGGACGGGUGAGUAAUGUAUGAGCAACCUGCCUUUCAGAGGGGGACAACAGUUGGAAACGACUGCUAAUACCGCGUAAUGUAUCGUGAGGGCAUCCUCGUGAUACCAAAGGAGCAAUCCGCUGAAAGAUGGGCUCAUAUCUGAUUAGCUUGUUGGCGGGGUAACGGCCCACCAAGGCGACGAUCAGUAGCCGGACUGAGAGGUUGAACGGCCACAUUGGGACUGAGAUACGGCCCAGACUCCUACGGGAGGCAGCAGUGGGGAAUAUUGGGCAAUGGGCGAAAGCCUCGACCCAGCAACGCCGCGUGAAGGAAGAAGGUCUUCGGAUUGUAAACUUCUUUUAUGAGGGACGAAGGACGUGACGGUACCUCAUGAAUAAGCCACGGCUAACUACGUGCCAGCCGCCGC